GACGAACGCUGGCGGCGUGCUUAACACAUGCAAGUCGAACGGAAAGGCCCUGCUUUUGUGGGGUGCUCGAGUGGCUAACGGGUGAGUAACACGUGAGUAACCUGCCCUUUACUUUGGGAUAACUUCAGGAAACUGGGGCUAAUACCGGAUAGGAGCUCCUGCUGCAUGGUGGGGGUUGGAAAGUUUCGGCGGUUGGGGAUGGACUCGCGGCUUAUCAGCUUGUUGGUGGGGUAGUGGCUUACCAAGGCUUUGACGGGUAGCCGGCCUGAGAGGGUGACCGGCCACAUUGGGACUGAGAUACGGCCCAGAGUCCUACGGGAGGCAGCAGUGGGGAAUAUUGCACAAUGGGCGGAAGCCUGAUGCAGCAACGCCGCGUGCGGGAUGAAGGCCUUCGGGUUGUAAACCGCUUUAGCCUGUGACGAAGCGUGAGUGACGGUAAUGGGUAAAGAAGCACCGGCUAACUACGUG
rnacentral:rRNA from 1 species